AUCUUCGGGGCAGGGUGAGAUUCCCUAUUGGCGGUAUAGUCCGCGAGCGCAGCAAUGCGCAGGAUCCGGUGCAACUCCGGGACCAACCGUAUAGUCGGGAUGGAAGAAGAUG
rnacentral:ncRNA from 1 species